CACCUUUAGACUAGAUAGAUACAUGCACGCUCUUUGUCUUCCCCUCAGAUCUGUUCAACAAGACACUUGGAACAGGACAGCAAGCAGCUCACAUGUUAGUCCUGCAGACUGGUGGUGGAUGCAUAAAGGCAUUUGGAUGCCCAAGGUGCCUAUGUGCUACCCAUGGUACAACACUGAGAUGUGAGUGGUCCCUUCCCAAGAAUUUGCCUGGGGCAUUUGGACACUUAACUUGGUGUUGACCUGUUGGAACAGGGCAGAGACAUGCAACACUCUUUUCUGGUAUUAUAUCAUCUUCUGAAAUCCUGCUGUAAACAUUUGAUUCUGGAAAUCAUGAUCAGUGUGGUCAUAGUGAUGAAGGCUCCCGGGACUUUGUUAUCUGGAUUUUUGAGCAGAAACAGGCAGCUGGCUAUUGCUUCUCCAUUUCCUUCUUGCUUUGCCACCAGU